GGACGAACGCUGGCGGCGUGCCUAACACAUGCAAGUCGAGCGAAGUAAGUUGCUUCACCAAAUGUUGAAAACCAUAUUCAAUAUUUGGUGAAGUAACUUACUUAGCGGCGGACGGGUGAGUAACGCGUGAAUAAUCUGCCCCAUACAGGGGGAUACCCUCGGGAAACCGGGAUUAAAACCGCAUGAAGCUUUUUUAUCGCAUGGUAGAGAAGCCAAAUUGAUUAAGAGGUAUGGGAUGAGUUCGCGUCUGAUUAGCUAGUUGGUGAGGUAAGGGCUCACCAAGGCGACGAUCAGUAGCCGGCCUGAGAGGGUGAACGGCCACACUGGAACUGAGACACGGUCCAGACUCCUACGGGAGGCAGCAGUGGGGAAUAUUGCACAAUGGAGGGAACUCUGAUGCAGCGACGCCGCGUGAGUGAAGAAGGUCUUCGGAUCGUAAAACUCUGUCCUUGGUGAAGAAAAGGACGGUAGCCAAGGAGGAAGCCCCGGCUAACUACGUGCCAGCAGCCGCGGUAAUACGUAGGGGGCGAGCGUUGUCCGGAUUUACUGGGCGUAAAGGGUGAGUAGGCGGUUAUAUAUGUCAGGUGUAAAAAGCUAUGGCUUAACCAUAGUUAGCACCUGAAACUGUAUGACUUGAGUGCAGGAAAGGUAAGCGGAAUUCCUAGUGUAGCGGUGAAAUGCGUAGAUAUUAGGAGGAACACCGGUGGCGAAGGCGGCUUACUGGACUGUAACUGACGCUGAGUCACGAAAGCGUGGGUAGCAAACAGGAUUAGAUACCCUGGUAGUCCACGCUGUAAACGAUGAGUGCUAGGUGUUGGGUAGCGAUAUUCAGUGCCGAAGUAAACACAAUAAGCACUCCGCCUGGGGAGUACGUACGCAAGUAUGAAACUCAAAGGAAUUGACGGGGACCCGCACAAGCAGCGGAGCAUGUGGUUUAAUUCGAAGCAACGCGAAGAACCUUACCAAGGCUUGACAUCCCCUUGACAGAUGCAGAGAUGUGUCCUCCUCUUCGGAGGCAAGGGAGACAGGUGGUGCAUGGUUGUCGUCAGCUCGUGUCGUGAGAUGUUGGGUUAAGUCCCGCAACGAGCGCAACCCUUAUCCUUAGUUGCCAGCAUGUAAAGAUGGGCACUCUAAGGAGACUGCCGGUGAUAAACCGGAGGAAGGUGGGGAUGACGUCAAAUCAUCAUGCCCCUUAUGUCUUGGGCUACACACGUGCUACAAUGGUCGGUACAACGGGCAGCGAAGGAGCGAUCCGGAGCGAAUCCCAAUAAACCGAUCCCAGUUCGGAUUGCAGGCUGCAACUCGCCUGCAUGAAGUCGGAGUUGCUAGUAAUCGCGAAUCAGAACGUCGCGGUGAAUGCGUUCCCGGGUCU
rnacentral:rRNA from 1 species